ensembl:lncRNA
AGACUAUAUACAGGGGGUACCAGUACAGAGUCAAUGUGGAGGCUAUAUACAGGGGGGUACCAGUACAGAGUCAAUGUGGAGGCUAUAUACAGGGGGUACCAGUACAGAGUCAAUGUGGAGGCUAUAUACAGGGGGUACCGGUACAGAGUCAAUGUGGAGGCUAUAUACAGGGGGUACCAGUACAGAGUCAAUGUGGAGGCUAUAUACAGGGGGUACCAGUACAGAGUCAAUGUGGAGGCUAUAUACAGGGGGUACCAG